GGUUAAGCGACUAAGCGUACACGGUGGAUGCCCUGGCAGUCAGAGGCGAUGAAGGACGUGCUAAUCUGCGAAAAGCGUCGGUAAGGUGAUAUGAACCGUUAUAACCGGCGAUGUCCGAAUGGGGAAACCCAGUGCAAUUCGUUGCACUAUCGUUAACUGAAUACAUAGGUUAACGAGGCGAACCGGGGGAACUGAAACAUCUAAGUACCCCGAGGAAAAGAAAUCAACCGAGAUUCCCCCAGUAGCGGCGAGCGAACGGGGAGCAGCCCAGAGUCUGAAUCAGCUUGUGUGUUAGUGGAACGGUCUGGAAAGUCCGACGGUACAGGGUGAUAGUCCCGUACACCAAAAUGCACAGGCUGUGAACUCGAAGAGUAGGGCGGGACACGUGGUAUCCUGUCUGAAUAUGGGGGGACCAUCCUCCAAGGCUAAAUACUCCUGACUGACCGAUAGUGAACCAGUACCGUGAGGGAAAGGCGAAAAGAACCCCGGCGAGGGGAGUGAAAAAGAACCUGAAACCGUGUACGUACAAGCAGUGGGAGCACCUUCGGGUGUGACUGCGUACCUUUUGUAUAAUGGGUCAGCGACUUAUAUUCUGUAGCAAGGUUAACCGUAUAGGGGAGCCGCAGGGAAACCGAGUCUUAACUGGGCGUUAAGUUGCAGGGUAUAGACCCGAAACCCGGUGAUCUAGCCAUGGGCAGGUUGAAGGUUGGGUAACACUAACUGGAGGACCGAACCGACUAAUGUUGAAAAAUUAGCGGAUGACUUGUGGCUGGGGGUGAAAGGCCAAUCAAACCGGGAGAUAGCUGGUUCUCCCCGAAAGCUAUUUAGGUAGCGCCUCGUGAACUCAUCUUCGGGGGUAGAGCACUGUUUCGGCUAGGGGGUCAUCCCGACUUACCAACCCGAUGCAAACUACGAAUACCGAAGAAUGUUAUCACGGGAGACACACGGCGGGUGCUAACGUCCGUCGUGAAGAGGGAAACAACCCAGACCGCCAGCUAAGGUCCCAAAGUCAUGGUUAAGUGGGAAACGAUGUGGGAAGGCACAGACAGCCAGGAUGUUGGCUUAGAAGCAGCCAUCAUUUAAAGAAAGCGUAAUAGCUCACUGGUCGAGUCGGCCUGCGCGGAAGAUGUAACGGGGCUAAACCAUGCACCGAAGCUGCGGCAGCGACACUAUGUGUUGUGGGUAGGGGAGCGUUCUGUAAGCCUGCGAAGGUGUGCUGUGAGGCAUGCUGGAGGUAUCAGAAGUGCGAAUGCUGACAUAAGUAACGAUAAAGCGGGUGAAAAGCCCGCUCGCCGGAAGACCAAGGGUUCCUGUCCAACGUUAAUCGGGGCAGGGUGAGUCGACCCCUAAGGCGAGGCCGAAAGGCGUAGUCGAUGGGAAACAGGUUAAUAUUCCUGUACUUGGUGUUACUGCGAAGGGGGGACGGAGAAGGCUAUGUUAGCCGGGCGACGGUUGUCCCGGUUUAAGCAUGUAGGCUGGUUAUCCAGGCAAAUCCGGAUAAUCAAGGCUGAGGUGUGAUGACGAGGCACUACGGUGCUGAAGUAACAAAUGCCCUGCUUCCAGGAAAAGCCUCUAAGCAUCAGGUAACAUCAAAUCGUACCCCAAACCGACACAGGUGGUCAGGUAGAGAAUACCAAGGCGCUUGAGAGAACUCGGGUGAAGGAACUAGGCAAAAUGGUGCCGUAACUUCGGGAGAAGGCACGCUGGUGUGUAGGUGAAGUCCCUGCGGAUGGAGCUGAGACCAGUCGAAGAUACCAGCUGGCUGCAACUGUUUAUUAAAAACACAGCACUGUGCAAACACGAAAGUGGACGUAUACGGUGUGACGCCUGCCCGGUGCCGGAAGGUUAAUUGAUGGGGUUAUCCGUAAGGAGAAGCUCUUGAUCGAAGCCCCGGUAAACGGCGGCCGUAACUAUAACGGUCCUAAGGUAGCGAAAUUCCUUGUCGGGUAAGUUCCGACCUGCACGAAUGGCGUAAUGAUGGCCAGGCUGUCUCCACCCGAGACUCAGUGAAAUUGAACUCGCUGUGAAGAUGCAGUGUACCCGCGGCAAGACGGAAAGACCCCGUGAACCUUUACUAUAGCUUGACACUGAACAUUGAGCCUUGAUGUGUAGGAUAGGUGGGAGGCUUUGAAGCGUGGACGCCAGUCUGCGUGGAGCCAACCUUGAAAUACCACCCUUUAAUGUUUGAUGUUCUAACGUUGGCCCCUGACCGGGGUUGCGGACAGUGUCUGGUGGGUAGUUUGACUGGGGCGGUCUCCUCCCAAAGCGUAACGGAGGAGCACGAAGGUUAGCUAAUCCUGGUCGGACAUCAGGAGGUUAGUGCAAUGGCAUAAGCUAGCUUGACUGCGAGCGUGACGGCGCGAGCAGGUGCGAAAGCAGGUCAUAGUGAUCCGGUGGUUCUGAAUGGAAGGGCCAUCGCUCAACGGAUAAAAGGUACUCCGGGGAUAACAGGCUGAUACCGCCCAAGAGUUCAUAUCGACGGCGGUGUUUGGCACCUCGAUGUCGGCUCAUCACAUCCUGGGGCUGAAGUAGGUCCCAAGGGUAUGGCUGUUCGCCAUUUAAAGUGGUACGCGAGCUGGGUUUAGAACGUCGUGAGACAGUUCGGUCCCUAUCUGCCGUGGGCGCUGGAGAAUUGAGGGGGGCUGCUCCUAGUACGAGAGGACCGGAGUGGACGCAUCACUGGUGUUCGGGUUGUCAUGCCAAUGGCACUGCCCGGUAGCUAAAUGCGGAAGAGAUAAGUGCUGAAAGCAUCUAAGCACGAAACUUGCCCCGAGAUGAGUUCUCCCUGAGACUUUAAGUCUCCUGAAGGAACGUUGAAGACGACGACGUUGAUAGGCCGGGUGUGUAAGCGCAGCGAUGCGUUGAGCUAACCGGUACUAAUGAACCGUGAGGCUUAACCUU
rnacentral:rRNA from 1 species